ensembl:snRNA U6 U6 spliceosomal RNA
AUACUCCCUUUGGAGGCACAUACACUAAAAUUGGAGCAAUAGAGAGAAAAUUACCACAGCUUCUGUGCGAGAAUGACGCGAAAAUGCAUAAAGGGUUUCGUAUUCUU